AAGGUCAGAUGGUGGUUUGGUUGGCUGGGUGGUGCAUGGAAUGUGAGCGCCAGACUGGACAGUGGUCAAAUAUUUGGUUCCGCCGCGUGGGUGGGACCCGCUGGACAACGGUCCGUCAGAACCUGGAUCUCAGGCCACCCAGGGGGUGAAAAAAGUAAGAGGAGGAGAUGGCCUGCCUUCGCGCGUGGGAAAGGAGAGAGAAGAGGGAGAGUGUGGGAUGGAGGGGUGCGAGCACGUGGGAGGCGGCACGUGGGAGGCAGGGGAAUGAUGGUGUCGGCGUAGAAUGCGGCACGUGUGAGCAGGGCGCCGCGAAAAGCCG
rnacentral:lncRNA from 1 species